AAAGAAUUUAAAAUAGAAAUAUAAAAAGGAUAGGAGUUAAAAAUUGCUAAUUAUGCUAUUAUAGUAUAAAGCGUUUGGUACUAUCGAAUAUUUGGUUAAGAUUAUAGGGGUUUUACCGACCGUCCUUAGAACAAAUAGCAAAGGGCUUAGUGGUUGAUACCCGAGAUCCAAGUUCGAAUCCUAGUUGAUUCAUAUUUUCAGCUAAGUUUAUUUUUAAAUAAAAUAAACGAAGCGGUUAGCGUGCUAUCUAUUUUUCAAAAAAAAAAAAGAAGAAGAUUAUAGUGAUUUUUUAGGGUUGAGCAGAUGGUUGAAUAGUACAACCUAACGGGUGAAAAUGAUCAAAGAAAUAUAUCUAACAGCAGAAAACUCGAUAGUACCAAACGCUUAGUACUAUCGAUAGUAUAGUAGUCGGACUCAGCUUAAUAUUACUAUGUUUUUUGUAAAUAAUAUAUAUUUUUGUUGAUAUCAGGGUGGGAGGUAGUAGAUUUCUAACAAAUUUUCAACGAAUCAAGACGGAUCGAGAAAAAAAAGGGUUCUCUGCCUUUGUUAUAUUUUCUUAACAUAUCAUAAAUAUUAUUUAUUAUUUAUUAUUUUUAUUCUCAAGUCACUGCCAAUUAGAGCAGAUCGGGAUAGGUGCUCCAUCAACCGGAUCCAAUUGCAUUUCUAU
rnacentral:lncRNA from 1 species